GAUCCUGGCUCAGGAUGAACGCUAGCUACAGGCUUAACACAUGCAAGUCGAGGGGCAUCGGGAAGAAAGCUUGCUUUCUUUGCCGGUCGACCGGCGCACGGGUGAGUAACACGUAUCCAACCUGCCCUUUACUCGGGGAUAGCCUUUCGAAAGAAAGAUUAAUACCCGAUGGCAUAAUGAUUCCGCAUGGUUUCAUUAUUAAAGGAUUCCGGUAAAGGAUGGGAUGCGUUACCAUUAGGUUGUUGGUGAGGUAACGG
rnacentral:rRNA from 1 species